AUCCAGUAUCGUCUUGCUCCAGGCUUGCGACCCCCGUCUGGCUUCCAUUUGUGUCGAGCAUUCCAAUUCUUGCAGGCUUUUCACAAUCGAACUCUUUUUCCAUGAUCGGGCUGUGGCCUGCCUGUGUCGUGGUAGGGCUAUCGGGUGUGUAGUCUUCUCCAGCAACCCCCAUAUUUGCUCUGGAAGGAAAGAUAUCUUUCGAUAUUCCCUCUGCAAGAAAUAAUAUACGGCAACCAAAUAUCAAGAAUCCUAGGGAUUGGUGCGCAGAGAGAUUUGUCAAUUAACUAAUAACUAUAGACAGGAUGUUUAUGACGAUAGUGUGGAUAUGCCAAUAUCAACGAACAGGAAAUAUGAAGCCCAAAAAAGCUGCUUUCUGCUUUUUCGUUUUUUUUAAUGAGCCCACGGCCAUCAACGGCUUUUGAAGAACACUUUUCAACAGAAAUAUCUGAACAUCAAGAGAAACAACUUAUGACACAUAACCCCUGUCCCGCUAAAGGCAUAACAGGGAUGUCAGAUAUAUCACGAUAAGAAAAACGGGAAAAAAGGGAAAAUGAAAAAAACUCCGAAAGACUAACCGCAGG
rnacentral:sRNA from 2 species